ensembl:lncRNA
AGUGCAUCACAGGGCAGUCAUCGCUUUCACAUCAGAGAUGAUUCUUCCUGAUGAUCAGAUCUAUGAAAGCAGCACCUGCCACAGAAGGGCUCUGUAGCCAUUCCUCUCAACACACCAGGAUCUUUUUCCAUGUGCGGUCACACCAUGUGUACAGUUGCCUCUGGGAGUUGUUGGAAACUGUUGCAUAUCUUCAACUGGAAUUUGAAGGACCGGCCUCCAAGAUACCAAGUUCAUAUGAAUAGCAAGAAAAAUAGUGACCAAAGAGAGCAGAAAAUCUCUGUUAGUGCCCCUGUUAUGGCAAAGGCUGAUGAAAUGAGCUCUCUCUAGGCCCUGGAGAGCUCCCAGAAGGACAUGUUAGAAAGCAGACCUGACUCCUGCUGCUAGUUGUGAAGCUGUUGCCUUCUUUCUUCCUGGUAGCAAUACUUCUAUGCAUUGGAACUCAAACUCUACCAGCAUUCAAGCUUUUCCUCUUCACCUCUUUCAAGAUAGUUUGGUCCUGUAAAUGCUUUCAGACUCCUCCAGCUUCUAGAGAGCUCUUAUUUUUGGGACCCUUUGGAGGCAGCUCUGGAGUAUGCUCAACUAACAAUCCAUUUCCUUGAUCCAAAGCCUGACUGUGCAGGAAGUUGACAGCCAAUUUCGGUAGGUCUCCAGAACAACUCAUGUCUCCACUACCUGCAAGAGGAAUGUUUAAACUUUUGCUCACAGAUCCCCUGGCACUUUACAAGCAGCACAGACAUAAUAAAACAACAAAGUAAGGCACACAAACACCUACAGCGAAACAUCAACCAUCAAAUUCCAGUGCCCAGAUACAUCUCACCAAUAGUCUCCAACUUAAACAAAUGAAACCGGACUAGUCCUACAGAAGCAAACAUUGCUUUAACUUCAUAACCAAAGCAGGAGGAAAUAGGGAGAUAACGGCAAACCUCUUCUGCUGCAAUCAGCUGUAAAGCCGUGCAGACAGUGGCUUCACAGCUGUUGGCUAUAAUGCAAAUACCUCCUUGCUCCCAGCAGACAGCAGCUUCGGUGCAGUGCUUCACCCAAGAAGGACCACCAGAAGAAGGGAAUUCAGCAAUCGUUACCAAGAAGCACAGCUCAAGACUUGAGAUGAGGCUACCACUGGUGUUCCUCCACCAUCCUGAUGAAGCCUGUCCCUCUUUCUGACAUUAGAAGGGCUGCUGUGAAAAUGACAGCCCGGAUCACACAAGAUCACUUGGUGCUGAAAAAUGCUUGUAUUCAGUCUUUGUUUUGGUUAGCCUUUGGACCAUCUUCUUCAUUUUGACAGUAACACUUGUC